rnacentral:rRNA from 1 species
GGGUUGUGAGGUUAAGCGACUAAGCGUACACGGUGGAUGCCCUGGCAGUCAGAGGCGAUGAAGGGCGUGCUAAUCUGCGAUAAGCGCCGGUAAGGUGAUAUGAACCGUUAUAACCGGCGAUACCCGAAUGGGGAAACCCAGUGUGACUCGUCACACUAUCAUUAACUGAAUCCAUAGGUUAAUGAGGCGAACCGGGGGAACUGAAACAUCUAAGUACCCCGAGGAAAAGAAAUCAACCGAGAUUCCCCCAGUAGCGGCGAGCGAACGGGGAGGAGCCCAGAGCCUGAAUCAGCAUGUGUGUUAGUGGAAGCGUCUGGAAAGGCGCGCGAUACAGGGUGACAGCCCCGUACACAAAAGCGCAUGUGCUGUGAGCUCGAUGAGUAGGGCGGGACACGUGGUAUCCUGUCUGAAUAUGGGGGGACCAUCCUCCAAGGCUAAAUACUCCUGACUGACCGAUAGUGAACCAGUACCGUGAGGGAAAGGCGAAAAGAACCCCGGCGAGGGGAGUGAAAAAGAACCUGAAACCGUGUACGUACAAGCAGUGGGAGCACAGGUUUACCUGUGUGACUGCGUACCUUUUGUAUAAUGGGUCAGCGACUUAUAUUCUGUAGCAAGGUUAACCGUAUAGGGGAGCCGGAGGGAAACCGAGUCUUAACCGGGCGUUAAGUUGCAGGGUAUAGACCCGAAACCCGGUGAUCUAGCCAUGGGCAGGUUGAAGGUUGGGUAACACUAACUGGAGGACCGAACCGACUAAUGUUGAAAAAUUAGCGGAUGACCUGUGGCUGGGGGUGAAAGGCCAAUCAAACCGGGAGAUAGCUGGUUCUCCCCGAAAGCUAUUUAGGUAGCGCCUCGUGAAUUCAUCUCCGGGGGUAGAGCACUGUUUCGGCUAGGGGGCCAUCCCGGCUUACCAACCCGAUGCAAACUGCGAAUACCGGAGAAUGUUAUCACGGGAGACACACGGCGGGUGCUAACGUCCGUCGUGAAGAGGGAAACAACCCAGACCGCCAGCUAAGGUCCCAAAGUCAUGGUUAAGUGGGAAACGAUGUGGGAAGGCCCAGACAGCCAGGAUGUUGGCUUAGAAGCAGCCAUCAUUUAAAGAAAGCGUAAUAGCUCACUGGUCGAGUCGGCCUGCGCGGAAGAUGUAACGGGGCUAAACCAUGCACCGAAGCUGCGGCAGCGACGCUGAUGCGUUGUUGGGUAGGGGAGCGUUCUGUAAGCCUGUGAAGGUGUGUCGUGAGGC